GUUCAGUCAGUGAUUAAAACAGAUUCAGAGGUCCUCAUCAGUGAUGGAACUAAAGUUGUGCUUUUCAUUUCUGAUGUUUUUUGUGAUUCAUGAUGUCCAGUCAGCCAAAAGCCAAAAGUGUGGUUAUUCCCUGCACCUAUAAUUACCCCAGACCUAGCUCCAAAAAGAUCAUAAACAGCUGGUUAGGAUUCUGCAAGAAAGGGAACAAGGUUGUGGCAACCUCUAUCCAAAAACGGAAACUGCCUGUGGAGUACAAAAAACGAACUCAAUUUCUGGGAAAACUGAGAACACGGAACUGCACGAUGCUACUGGAUAGUGUCCGGAGCACUGAUGUUGGACCUUUUUACUUCAGGAUUGAAAUGCCACAAUACAAAAGCUUUUCCUACACACAAAACGCUGUAUCCAUUGAUGUUAUACGCAACCCCCCACCGCCAACUCUGUCUGUGGAGGUGAAUAAUCAGGCAUAUGCUACCUGCUCUGUUUUUCACUCCUGCCCAUCUAUUCCUCCUCAAUUCUCCUGGAGUCACACUGGAGUCAUCAAAAGCCAGUGGAAGAAGGUGAAUGCAUGGAACUGGCAAACAGUGUCAACUCUGACCUUUCUGCCUUUAGCCACCGAUUUCAACAAGCCUUUAAACUGCACAGUGCGACACAGAGGGGGGGAGGAGGCACAAAGCUCCAUUAUUCUUCUAAUAUGAGCCCAGUGCAUGAUCGAAGUAUAACUUCUUACUCUACACAAUAAAUUAAUUCAAGGUUUUAAUUUAGCAUUUGAGGUAUAUAGCGUCUUUAAACUACUUAAAGUGAAUCUUAAAACAGAUAGCUUUGCUAUUUGUGAAGCCCGAAGGGGUUUUGUGAUUGUUUGGUUUAAGUGGAUGUCAAAGAGUGUGUCUGCACUAAAAACACAUGUUUUAGUGUUAUCUAUGGUGAAUGAUAAGUGAUCAACAGCUUCUCCUUCUUAAAGUUGUAUUUCUCCAAAUGUUUACGUUAAAAUACAGUUAAAAAAAUUGAUACAUAUAUAUUCUUAAAUAAUAUUCUUAGAAAGAGGUGUUGUUAUGUGACAAUGUGAAAAUAAUAAGGUAGUUAUGAAACAUAUUUUGCAAUUCAGAAACUUUUGUCCACAAGAGUACUGUCAGGGACUAGAAAGAGAGCAUAUUUUGCCAUAAUCUGUAAAGAUCUGUAUAGAAAUACAAAAUGUAUUAAUUUUUUUCAUGUAUGAUUUAAAGUAAAUCAAAUGAAAGCAAAAUGGCAUCAGUAUGAAUGCCUUGGAUCAGACAGUCACGGUCCUGGGUCGGUGACCAAGUGUUUUAUGUAUUGUUAUUUUAUGAUUUAGUGUUUAAUGUUGUUUUUGUUCUGUGCCAGUUUGUUUCCUGCUUUACUUUGACAGUCUGUGCCCUACAUUAGCGUUUCUAGUUUGGUGUCUCCCUGUCCUGUUGAUGUCAGCUGCGUCUUCCAGGUGUUUUCCCUUUGCCCUGCUUUCCUCUUGUAUUCAAUGUCUGUGUCUGCUCCUGCUUGUCGUCACAUCGUAUCCUCAUUCUGACCAGUUUAGUUCAGUUUCAUGCCCUCAUCGUUCUGUUCCAUUUCCUAAUUUAAGCCUGCAAUAAAGCAGUCGGUUUUUUAGCUUAAAUUCCACCUCCACGAGUCUGCAUUUUGGGUCCUUUUUCCUGCCUGCCCGCAAACAGCCAUGACACAGACCUGUUUCAUCCAUCCAUCCAUCCAUCCAUCCAUUCGCUUUCACUAAACCUAAAAUAGUCAGAAAUGCCAAACACAGUUGUUGAGGUCUCCCAGCACCUUUCUCAGAUUUCGAAACUGUCCCAGAGUUUUAGAUGACUUGAUUAUGGACAUUUAUUACAAAUCCAUCUGAGUUUUCUGACCUUCCCCUCUGGUU